rnacentral:lncRNA from 1 species
CCGAACCUGAUAAGAUUCGAUGUCUCUGUGCUAGUCCAUGGAUCAAUAGCUAGCACACACAGUACAAGAUGUAAUAUCAAGAAUAAACCACAUGUCAUAAUAUUACAUCAUAGAUCCAGAAUUUAAUAUAAUACAUACUUGCAUAGCUCAAGCUAGCAUACAAACAAAAUACAGCGGAGAAGCAUAUAAAAUCUUCAUGAAGUCUAUCAACACCAUAGGCAAAUGUCGAGUAUAGACAUCAUAACCCUACAUCGUAUCACUCACUCGUCGUAUAAAAUCUGCAGCAUGAAACGUUGCAGCAACGAAGGGUCAAUACUUUGAAUGUAUUGGCAAGUCACACAGGGAAAUGAUAUAACAGACCUACUUCUGUAUGCAAGGUAUAUCAAAAGAAUGGUUGGCGUUUGUUUUGCCGAAAGCUAAUUUUUCCCUGAUAACUACAUAAUAUAAUAGUCAAAUUUUAAUUAUUUCUUGCUACAAUUUAAUACAUAUGGUUGAAUUAGGCAAUCCAGUUCCAACCGCCCAUUAUUAAGUAUCCCAUCAAGUUUUAUUAUCUGUAUCAUCUGUCAAGAUCAUCCAACAACUGUAAUGGCCUAGCUGCUCAAAUUUGUCCAUAACCGGGGACACGGCUAAUCAUGAUUAGUUUUAAUACUCUGCAGAGUUUUGUAUGCUUUACCCAUUGGACCCAAUCCGAAGAUUGAGACUAAGUCUUUCAGAAGAGGUUCCCUUAACCACCUGACGGCCACAUCCCACCUACAUAUGCUACAUCUAUCGACACUGUCUGGGCAAGGGUUCCAACAACUGAUCAACUAAGCCAGAGCCCAUAUAGCCAAUGGCCGCACAUGGAAGUUACUAGUCACUAAGUCUGUCUGAUCUUUUUGAACCUGGGCGGCAUUCCACUUAGGGUGCACUCUCAUGAGCGCAUGGCCUUAGAAAAGGUGCGAGACCCCAUGAUGCCUUCCCUUAACACCAAACAAUACCACUUUCGCCCAAAGGUGAAUUAUAUCUUAAUUACUACUCAUUUAGUUAUAUAUAUAUAUAUAAUCCUCACAUAAGCUCAAUGUAUACAUGAACCACCCCCGUCUACAAAGCAUAGCAAAACUACAACUACCAUGAUCUGCAAUGACGGGAAGAUAACUCAACAGCAUAGCCAAAAAUAAUAUAGUAAUCCUAUACAUGCAUAUAUUCAUAGUGUGAUAUAACUACAUGCAUAGAAAACAAUAGGUAAAGGAUGAUCAGCAUGUAACUUGUCUGGUAUAUUUGAUGAAGAUCGUCGCACUCACAAUUCCUGAUAAUUCUACUCGUCAAGCUCCGGGUAAUCUAUCGCAAGGAAAUAAUCCAAAUCAAUAACCAUGCCAUACAGAAAAAUCAAAAGAACAACAAAACAAAUAUGGCAAAGUUGAGCAACAUCAAUAUAGUUGGGCUUAAUAUAUAAUAUAGGUUCUAACGGUAAUAUAAGGUGACAGGUGGAAGAAUCAAAUUCAAAAGAGUCAAUGGUUGAUGAAAUUGUUGAUAUAUAAGAUUAUACUGGAGAUGGUAUGGAACAUGGUCAAAAACAUGUUGAAAACAACAUAUCUGUCGUUUGACAUACUACAUAAGUCAUAUGGGUUCAUUUGCAAAAGAAUUAUUUGAUAAGGAGCACUGCAACCCAAGCUAUAGUAGAAUGAAGUCUGAAUUGAAUAUAUAAAUUCAAAAGGACAAAAAUAUUUGAAUAUGGAGUUCACAUGAUAUUUCGGGAAGUAUUUGAUACAAACAAUAUAUGCCAAGGAAUCAACCGGAUCGGAUACAUGGUUUGCAAGAUAUGGCCUCCGGAAGGAUGAAUUCGAAUUUGAAUAAAUUCAAAUUUGAGCAGUUCAAACAUGUGAAAUUUUGGUUCUACUGUAUUCUCCUCGUCGCUACGAGUACACAGGAGAAAGAAUCAAUGAAUUUGUAUAUACAGACCAAGAGAUAUAGCUAAACGAAAAAUUGGUGAAAAUCUGUCUAAAAACAUGAUUUUGAACUGCGGCUACUAUAGCAUAGCGCCAUGUGUCACAUGCAGAUUGGCUGAGAUGUAGCUGUGCGUGCGUGCUCACUGAGGCAGGGGAAAAACGACGACGGCUUCGGGCGUGGGUGGUGGCGCCCUUCGGUGGCUCUCCGGUGAAGAUGAGGUGAAGGGCGGAUGCGGCUUGCGAUGACGGAGACGAUGGUAGCUUCAACGGAGAUGGGAGCGUCCGCUGCUGGCCCGCCGUCGCUCGGUGGUGCUGGCGAUUUUGGGUGUGAUCGGGAGCUCGAUAUCCCGUGUUCCUGAGAAGAUCAGAGGUUUAGGGAAAUUUAAAAGACCAUGAAUAAUACUCAGGAAGGAUUAGCGAGGAACCGGGGCUCACAGAGGCGACGGAAUCGUUCGAGGAAGCUCCGGCAAGGGCAAUACUCCGGUGAGAUCAGGAUUUGUUGAGGAGCUCGAUGUGGUGCGGUCCUGGGCAAAAUCAAAGCGGAGGGGGUGCAUGAGGUUUCCUCGCAGACUAUGGAGUGCUCGGAGAGGGGCCGGGCUUACUAGAGUGGCCGAAAUCGUUCGUCAGAGUCGCCGGAGUCGGCGGAGCUUGGCGAGGUCCUUACGCUCGAUUCCUAGGGGAAAACGAAGUGGCGCCUGUGAGGACUGAUCGAGGGAUUCGAGAGGAA